UACGUAGGGUGCAAGCGUUGUCCGGAAUUAUUGGGCGUAAAGAGCUCGUAGGCGGUUUGUCGCGUCUGCCGUGAAAGUCCGGGGCUCAACUCCGGAUCUGCGGUGGGUACGGGCAGACUAGAGUGAUGUAGGGGAGACUGGAAUUCCUGGUGUAGCGGUGAAAUGCGCAGAUAUCAGGAGGAACACCGAUGGCGAAGGCAGGUCUCUGGGCAUUAACUGACGCUGAGGAGCGAAAGCAUGGGGAGCAAACAGG
rnacentral:rRNA from 1 species